rnacentral:rRNA from 1 species
GAGUUUGAUCCUGGCUCAGAUUGAACGCUGGCGGCAUGCCUUACACAUGCAAGUCGAACGGCAGCACGGGAGCUUGCUCCUGGUGGCGAGUGGCGAACGGGUGAGUAAUGCAUCGGAACGUAUCCUGGAGUGGGGGAUAACGUAGCGAAAGUUACGCUAAUACCGCAUAUUCUGUGAGCAGGAAAGCGGGGGACCUUCGGGCCUCGCGCUCUUGGAGCGGCCGAUGUCGGAUUAGCUAGUUGGUGAGGUAAAGGCUCACCAAGGCGACGAUCCGUAGCAGGUCUGAGAGGAUGAUCUGCCACACUGGAACUGAGACACGGUCCAGACUCCUACGGGAGGCAGCAGUGGGGAAUUUUGGACAAUGGGGGCAACCCUGAUCCAGCCAUGCCGCGUGAGUGAAGAAGGCCUCGGUUGUAAGUACGUC